GUCCACGCUGUAAACGAUGGGCACUAGGUGUCUGGGGUAUUGACCCCCUGGGUGCCGCAGCUAACGCAUUAAGUGCCCCGCCUGGGAAGUACGGCCGCAAGGUUAAAACUCAAAGGAAUUGACGGGGGCCCGCACAAGCGGUGGAGCAUGUGGUUCAAUUCGACGCAACGCGAAGAACCUUACCUGGGCUAGACAACGGCGGACAGCCCCAGAGAUGGGGCCUUCCCUUCGGGGACCGCCGGUUCAGGUGCUGCAUGGCUGUCGU
rnacentral:rRNA from 1 species